CUGUCUUUUCCCUUUGUGGUGUGACAUAGCAGGCUAUUGCUGUGUGAUAGUGCCUGUCACUCACGGAGCUAACAGCACAUGCGACUUCUCUCCUCCGAGGUCAGGACAAGCCCCCCAGUUUUUAAUUUUUUGAGACAACCUAAUUUGCACAAGGAAAUAAAGAAUUGUGCUAUAGACGAUGAAGUCAGACAAAUGGCCAAUGUUGGGAUAUAAUGGUGAGCAUGUUCUUGCUCUUAUCUUGAAUAGCAACAGGCACUUAAACUAAAGUAAAUGUUUUUAUUAAUGUGAUUACUAGUCAAUGAAUCCAAAUGGGAAUAUAUGCUGAUUUAGCCUUGCAAUGAUUACUAAUACAGUCAACACAACACUAAAUAUGAGAGAGCGGUAUUCCACAGCAUGUAACUGUUGGAGAUGUUCGAGAAACGUACUAUUUGUGAUUUAUUUAUUUUUUUAUCUGUAGUUUACCUAACAAUUUAUAGAAUUGAAAUUGAAAUGAAAAACAAACACUGUAACUGUGCCAUUGCACAAAUCUUCUGGAACAAAAAUGAGGGUAAAUCUCAAAAAUGUUUGGACUUGCUCUGCUUGUGUUAUGGGUUUCACUUUCAGAUUCAUGUACUCCUAUUUGUCUCUUGGAUAAUGGAAAAUGGUUUGAGAAAAUUUAAGUCAUCAUAAUGUAUGAUACUCUGGGAAAAUGUUUCAGACUGGAAAGUGUUCAAGGAAAAUUAAGAUCUGAAUAUCUAUUUAAAGAAAAGAAACAAAAGGAAAAUACUUUAGUUGCUCCAGGCUAAUAGUAUAAAAUUCCUUGGUUUACUAGUAAGAAUGGACUGAAGUAUUGAAUUAUUUUAAUUUCUGUUAUUCUAAACCUAUCACAAGAUCACUUUUUUAAAUUUUAAUCAUUUUUGAUGGGUAUAAGCAAAUUUAAGAAUGUAUUGAUUAUUUGACAUAUGGUUCAACAAAAUAGCCCUCUGGGUCCCCUAAAAUCUUGGUUCAGUGGUGGUACCCCAACAUGAAGACCCCUUCAUGAGUACUGAUGCCUUGGUGAUGGUAAGAAAUGGACAGACAAAAAGUAUUUUGAAAUAAGAGACUGAACUGAAGGCAUGUAUGUGGGUAAUAACAAAAUGAACUACAAAGACCAAAAAGGAAUAAAAACACUUUGAAAAACUAAAACAAAACAGAGAGAGAUUCCCUUAAGAACACAAACACUUGGAACCCCUUGUGGUUGGAUCAGAGAGGCUAUUCUAGGUCAAAGAUCAUCAUGGUACAAUGUCCCCUAAAAAGACACAAGUUGACAUCUGAUCAGCUGCACAGGAGUGAUUUAACAGUCUUCUGGUUGGUUCAUAGUGUGCUCAGGAAAACUGUGAAGAUUUGAUUCUUUUUAUAUUUAUUUAUAAGCAUUUUCUUAUGUUGCGGCACAGUUGGACACCAACUUUGCUUCAUGUGUUCCGUUGUCCUUUUUUAUGUGAAAUAAAUGCAGCCAUAAUAACAAAAAUUAAGACGAUAAUCUUUCUAGACCAUUGCGGGUCAGAUUGACCUCAAUAAUUACUUUUUUUCCACCAAUAUAUUUUUAGUUUGCUUAAGUUUAAUUGCUGCUGGUCAAGCCAACAUUUGCCUUAAUUGCUUUGCAACUGAUGAUGUAUGUCAGGAGUACAAAGCCUCGAAGAUCUGUUAUGUACAGAUGGGUCAUGUACUAAAAUGAUAUAAGCAUGAGUAGAGAAGAUACAUGUGUAGCAACCUGCCUGGCAUAGCAGUUCUGGUCUGGUCGUUUUGGUGGAAUCAGUCUGAUAGACAAAUGGUAUAGAUUCUCCCUGUAAUGGCACAAGUGGACUAAAGCAUAUUUUCAUAUCCAAUAAAAAAUGAUGACGUAAAUACAUACGGUAUAUUAGGAAAGAAAAUAAACCCAAAACAGCUAGAUCUACAGAAAUUAGCCCUGCACUGAACCCCACCACUAUUUACACUUUAUAGCCUUUGUAGUGGUCUUAUUUAAAUGUGUAUUAGGAUUAUGUACUUAAAGGGGCACUUUUUUUUAAAAACUUAUCUAUAAGAAUAGGUAGGGACUACGCAAAAGUCUUUGCUGCUUUAAGCACCUCAAUUCCUUUUUUGACUGUAUUUAUAACGAUAAUGGGCCAAGCGUAUUAAUGGUUUAUGAGAGGGCAAGUAUUUCCAGAGUGGAUGCAUGAAUGUAGUACAUCAGCGCAUUAAUGUGUGAAUUAAUAUAUAGUUUGAAUGUACCAAUGAUGUCAAAAUCUCUGUUCAGUCCAGUAUUAAUAGCCUAGAUGUUAUGGAGCAGAAUCACAGCUCAGCUUAAUAUUUAAGGCCUUGCUUUGCACACACAAUCUGCUUUCAGUGUAAUAAAUUCAAAUCAACUUUACUUUAACACAUUGUGAUAUGGUACAAGCAUGUGAUAAGUCUUUGUUUCACAACAGGGGAAUUCAAGACAGGAGGGGAAAAGCAAAAACAUUGACAACUAACAGUUAUGAUGCCGAAUGAAUACGAUCCCAGGCAGAGGCAGGUAACGCGUGAUCGCUGCUGUAAAUAAGAACGGAUUCUUCCAUUCUCUUCAAUCCCAUCAGACUCUUUCAGACAGAAAGGAAACCAGGAAAAUAGCUCAUUUGAGCGUAUUGUGGCUAAACUUGUUUCAAAAUAAGCAACAGAAAGUUGGACAGAGUUCAAAUAUUUAGCUGCUCUAACAUUGCUUAUGACUUGCCAAACUCUGUACGGGCAGAUUUUCGUCUGGGGUCAUAUCAGAGUCAGAGGUUGUAUCCAGGUGAAAGUGCUGGCUCGCAUUACUUUUUGGUUAACCUGGCAUUGAAAUGGUCAGUUAACCCUCUCGCUUCUGGAUAAAACUGAAAGAUCUAGCUCACAAAGUCUCCAAGGAGGAAUGGGGGUAUCAAUCUGAUAUCCGGCCCUCAAAAGGUGCCACGUAAGAGACCAUUGUAAUCUAAAACAACAUAUAUAUGAAUACUGCAAACCUUUUUUUUUUUUUUUCUUCAAGAAUGUUUAAUGUUAAAUUUAAUGCAUAAUUUACCAUAAACCAUGUCAUAUUUUACAUUAUAAUUCGGUAAGAUUUAAUAAGGUCACGCUGGAAGCAUGAAAUAUGCUGGUUUACAGCUUAAAAUAUUUAUCAUGUUCCAACUACUCUACUAUUCUUUAUAUUUUUCACAUGCUAUUUAUUUAUGGUACUUGGGCGAUGUUGUUUAAAACUCUUUAUAAUAUACGCAUACAAGAAAAAAACAACACAUAGGAAUAUAAAGACACUGACGAGAAUAAAUUAAAAGACUGUUCAAUAACAUUUCCUUUUGUUUCCCUUUUUGGGGUGGGUUAGUUUUGCGCUGGAGAUGAUCACGCUACGCAGGGACCCCUCAAUCACAUACUGCUGGGAUAUAAAACUGUUAUUGAAAUCCUUAACUAUCCUGACUCCUUGUGUUGGCAUUGCAGCCAACAUAGUUGUAUUUAAAUAGUGAGUACUGGCAUAGCUGCUAGAAUAGUGGUACAUGAAUUUUUCCUUAUUCCAGCCAUUUUAAUCCGCCACAAUCCAUACUAUGAUUAAAUAAUAAUGCGCUAUAUGGUGUUUUUUUUUUUUUUGCACCCCACAUCAAGUUUGUGUGAACAAAGGGUAUUUAAAUCCUGGUGACCUUAAAAAUGACACAUGAGAUUAGAAAAAAAAAUAUUCCUAC